GUUUCGCAGCCGCUCCCGGGCCCACCUGACGCGCCCGCCCGACGAGGAUUUCCAGCAAAUUGAAAAUAUUGGUAUCGAUGAUUUUUCCCAACAGACCUAAAGGAAGAGAUUAGCUGCACUGAAAUUGUGUUACUCAUACCCUCCUUGGAUAGUCUGCAAAUGGGAUAGUGGCUUUGGAAUAAAGACACUCUCAGAGUUCCAGCUGGUUUGUGGGAUAUCGACCACAAGAUGGCGACAAUGUAACAGUGGGAAAUGGCCAGACACAAGAUACUAACACCAGUGCUGUACUUCCUGCAUGUCAAAGACACAUAGAAGAAUUGCCUUCUGUUUCUCCUCUGCUGUUAUUUCGGUCGCCAUAAAGUAGAAAGCUAGUCGCUCUAUGUACAGACUCCAGUCCUCGAUGGAUGAUUCGUAUGGGUUGAUUCUGCUGAGGAGUGACAUGAAUGAUUGACCCUGAUGAAGCAUUGAAUUGAUAAAAGAAAAUCAUUAAGAUGAAACCUUGAAUUAUCUCAAAUUCUGAUGAUCAAACUGAUAUUUUAAGAGUGGAGCUUCUUUCUUUGUUCAGGAGGGAGAUGAAACACCAAAUGGAAGGGAAGGAAACUGACAGCAAGCAGAAGCCCUAGAGUUAAAAGGGCCUGAGGGCCAGAUGACUUCUCAAGUGCCUUGGCCCCGCUGGCUGCUUGACUUCCAUUUGAAGUUAAAAUCUGUGUUUAACAGAUUAAAGGGAGUUACCUUCAUGGAUCCAACAACUGGAUAGAAACCUUGUACAACUGGGCUGAAUUUUCAACCUUGAGGUGGGUAGGGGGAGACAGGAAAAUUCUCGACUUGGCCCAUCCACCUUCGGAGAAAACGCCAGGAAUAAUCAAGCUUAGCUGAGAACAUAGAAAUUCAUCAAACUUUUGAAACACCUGAGCCCCAGGGAAAAUAUUGCUUGAUUGACAACUCUUGCUCUCUGAUCUAUGAUGUCAAUUGCAUGAUGUUUAUUUUCACAGGAUAAAUUUGUUUCAAGUGCUUCCAGUUUCCACUAUUGAUAUGAGGGUGUGGAUGACUGACAUUUUUAUUGAGCUAUAGGAAAAAGAAGUUUUGUU